UGCAAGUCGAACGGCAGCACGGGAGUAAUCCUGGUGGCGAGUGGCGAACGGGUGAGUAAUACAUCGGAACGUGUCCUGUAGUGGGGGAUAGCCCGGCGAAAGCCGGAUUAAUACCGCAUACGAUCUGUGGAUGAAAGCGGGGGAUCUUAGGACCUCGCGCUACAGGGGCGGCCGAUGGCAGAUUAGCUAGUUGGUGGGGUAAAGGCCUACCAAGGCGACGAUCUGUAGCUGGUCUGAGAGGACGACCAGCCACACUGGGACUGAGACACGGCCCAGACUCCUACGGGAGGCAGCAGUGGGGAAUUUUGGACAAUGGGCGCAAGCCUGAUCCAGCAAUGCCGCGUGUGUGAAGAAGGCCUUCGGGUUGUAAAGCACUUUUGUCCGGAAAGAAAACCUCCGUCCUAAUACGGUGGGGGGAUGACGGUACCGGAAGAAUAAGCACCGGCUAACUACGUGCCAGCAGCCGCGGUAAUACGUAGGGUGCAAGCGUUAAUCGGAAUUACUGGGCGUAAAGCGUGCGCAGGCGGUUCGCUAAGACAGAUGUGAAAUCCCCGGGCUUAACCUGGGAACUGCAUUUGUGACUGGCGGGCUAGAGUAUGGCAGAGGGGGGUAGAAUUCCACGUGUAGCAGUGAAAUGCGUAGAGAUGUGGAGGAAUACCGAUGGCGAAGGCAGCCCCCUGGGCCAAUACUGACGCUCAUGCACGAAAGCGUGGGGAGCAAACAGGAUUAGAUACCCUGGUAGUCCACGCCCUAAACGAUGUCAACUAGUUGUCGGGUCUUCAUUGACUUGGUAACGUAGCUAACGCGUGAAGUUGACCGCCUGGGGAGUACGGUCGCAAGAUUAAAACUCAAAGGAAUUGACGGGGACCCGCACAAGCGGUGGAUGAUGUGGAUUAAUUCGAUGCAACGCGAAAAACCUUACCUACCCUUGACAUGUAUGGAAUCCUGCUGAGAGGUGGGAGUGCCCGAAAGGGAGCCAUAACACAGGUGCUGCAUGGCUGUCGUCAGCUCGUGUCGUGA
rnacentral:rRNA from 1 species